AGAGUUUGAUCCCUGGCUCAGGAUGAACGCUAGCGGCAGGCUUAAUACAUGCAAGUCGUGGGCAGCAGGUUUGUAGCAAUACAGAUGCUGGCGACCGGCAAACGGGUGCGGAACACGUACAGAACCUUCCUUUGAGCGGGAAUAGCCCAGAGAAAUUUGGAUUAAUACCCCAUAGUAUAAUGAAGUGGCAUCACUUUAUUAUUAAAGAUUUGUCACUCGAAGAUGGCUGUGCGGCUGAUUAGGUAGUUGGCGGGGUAAAGGCCCACCAAGCCUGCGAUCAGUAACUGGUGUGAGAGCACGACCAGUCCCACGGGCACUGAGACACGGGCCCGACUCCUACGGGAGGCAGCAGUAGGAAUAUUGGUCAAUGGAGGCAACUCUGAACCGGCCAUGCCCGCGUGGAGGAUGAAGGUCCUCUGGAUUGUAAACUUCUUUUAUAUGGGACGAAAAAAGGCUUUUCUAAGUCGUCUGACGGUACCAUAUGAAUAAGCACCGGCUAACUCCGUG
rnacentral:rRNA from 1 species